UUUUUCCUUCUUUUUUUAUUUCUAUUUCUAUUUCUCUCUCUCUCUCUCUCUAUUUAGGAGGGAGAAGAAGGGGAGGAGCAGGAGUAGGGAAGCUAAACCAGAAGGGAAAAACAAACAGAAAUUAACUACCACUAUUAGCACCAUAAAAAAAAGGAAUAUUAUUCAUAAAAAACAAAUCAACAAAA
rnacentral:ribozyme from 12 species